AGCGAGAAUGUGAGAUUGUUAAUAAUGUGGAAUGUCCUGGAAAGGGGGUGAUUGUUUGGGAUCCUUGCAAGUGCUCAACUGAGAGAUAUGCCCUGCGGACACAGUCUAAGAAGAAGACGUGGACCCCAUGCGAUGACCAGUUCCUGCACCACAUCGAGGACCAUGGGCUAACUUUAAGUUAGUUAUAGGAAGCAAGAGAGGCUGUUUAGGUUUAGGUUUAGAUUAGGUAAUUAGGUUAGUUUAGAUUUAGUCAUAUGAUGAUAUCUUAAGGUACACAGAGUGUUAGACACUCUAGCGAUGUUAGCAUUAAGGAUCCAUAGAUUAAGUAACAGUAAGAAGUUUGUAUACUUAGCUGAAAAUAAAUAUGUUCCAAAGCAAA